ensembl:lncRNA
GACUCUCAACUCCGUUCUUGGGUUCCUCGAGGCUGUCCUCUCUUCUCCCCUUCUCUUCCUGGUUCAUUUUAUCACGUUUUUUGAGCUGGUGCUUUUUCAGCGGGAGCGGUCGCUGCACCUUCUCCAUGACUCCAACAGAAGUCGCUCUGGGGAGCUUCCCAAGGUCCUUGUUUCGGAGGUGGUAUCCUUCUGCGGCGGCAGGGGCUCCGUCGACCUCGCUGUCCCUACACAGGGUGGUAAAGGAGCAAGCCUGAAGCUGACUUUUGUUUGGGACAAAACCGAAAAUCCUUUUUAGCAUAUGGAGUGGGCUCCUCCCUGUGCCUCUUUGCUUCCUCUAGAUCCUCACCUCGGAUCUGGAGGCUAGAGAUUUUGGCAGCGAGACCCAGCACUGAUCCAAUUGCAACCCCAGCAACUCUAGCAAAGGGAUUGAACUACACGAGCCGCCAGUGUACUUUCCGGGAGUCUCUGACGGAAGCCGCUCUGGGGAGCUUCCUUUUUUCCUGAGGUGGAAUUUCUCGUCUGAGGCUGGGGCUCCAUCGACCCCUGUGCACGGUGGUGGAGGCAAGCCGGUGUCUGACUUUUCUUGUGGCCGAAACGGAAACUUUUUUCAUCAUAGCGAUGAUUCGAGAUCCAGGACUAGCCAGGAGGACUCGUGGGGGCUCCUCCCAGAGCCUCUUUGCCUCCUCCAGACCCUUGUGCUUUUUCAGACGCCGCAGCAGCAGCCACUACAACUUCCGGACUUCUACAGAAGUCGCUCUGGGGGCUUCCCAGAGUCCUUGGUUCGGAGGUCGUAUCCUUCACAGCAGCAGGGGCUUCAUGGACCCCGCUGUGCUGUCCCUGCGUGGGGUGGCGGAGGCGCAAUCCUGAAGCUGACUUCUGUUUGGGCUGAAACCGAAAACCGUUUUCAACAUAUGGAAGGGUCUAUUCUCUUUGCCUCCUCCAGACCAGAGACUUAGUCACCACCCAGCGACCGAUUUGGAGGGAUGUCGCUCUGGGGAGCUUCCCCAGCUCCUUGGUUCGGAGGUGGUAUCCUCUGGUGGUGGUCUUCCCCAAAGGGCUAUUAAGUGGCACUUCCAUCAAGAGGGUUAUUUCUACACUCAGUCCAAGAUGUGGAGAAUCUUUGUCUUGAUUAUUGUAGGCAAGUAGACAAAAGACCCUGAUACUUUCAUUAAACCUUUAGGUAGAUGUUGCUGGUUUGGGGCUUCUGAAACUCGGCCAUCUUGUCUCACCUCAACUAUGGAAAUAGUAUGAAUUCGUGUGUUUCUCUUUGAACUAGUCUCAGAAAGGAAUCCUAAUCUUAGUGUUUCUGGGAGAAUAGACUUUCAUCUGGGGGGGGCGGGGGGAGAGGGGAGGCAGCCCAUGUCUGUUCAUCUAUUGCUUCAGUCUGUGAGGGGCAGGAAGAGGUCUGGAAGAACCAUUCAAGUUCAUGGGGUUGUUUGGGGGAGUGGUGCUCACUGAUGAGAACUGGUUCCACCAUAGCAAACAUCCUUCUCCACCUCUAAAAGCAAGGAAGCACAUUGGAGAUUAACCUGUACCCUCUCUACUUGGCACAGCUAUAUGUGAGUUCAUCUUCCACAUACAGUAAAAUGAUGGAAAAGCAUGUUAUCUUUGCUGAUAACAUGGUUUUAAACAGCUUCUCACUAGAGGAGGAGUAGCCUCCAUUGAUGAUACCAUUAUAAAGAGUGGCUUGGCACCAGCUUAAAUUUUGUAGGUAUUCUCCAAUAUUUAAAGAAUACUAAAUCACAUUCUUUAAGAACAACAAAGCUCACUAACAGAUACAAUAAAUUGCGGAAGUUUGGGUCUUUCUCCA